GCUCAGUUGGUUAGAGCACACCCCUGAUAAGGGUGAGGUCGCUGGUUCAAGUCCAGCAAGGGGAACCA
rnacentral:tRNA from 1 species